rnacentral:misc_RNA from 1 species
AAGUCGUAACAAGGUUUCCGUAGGUGAACCUGCGGAAGGAUCAUUUCUGUUAAAUCUUUUUCCUAUCUUUACUCCCCUUUUUCACAAAGGGGGGGGUAAAAUAGUUAAAAAUUAAUAACAACAAACGUCAACCGUGUGCAAGUGUCUGUAUUAGUGUAGUGUGUGUUGCACUGUUCCCCCUUUUACACAGGGGGCAGUGCAGCAUCAUUGCCACACUCUAUUUUUUGAUAAAAAACCUUUGAUAAAACACUCAUACACAGUGUGUAGUAUGUCGAAAGUAAACAAAACAAUUUAAAAAACAAGAAAAACACAGUUUUAACGGUGGAUCUCUUGGCUCGU